CCUACGGGCGGCAGCAGUGGGGAAUAUUGCACAAUGGGGGAAACCCUGAUGCAGCGACGCCGCGUGAGUGAAGAAGUAAUUCGUUAUGUAAAGCUCUAUCAGCAGGGGAGAAAAUGACGGUACCUGAGUAAGAAGCCCCGGAAAACUACGUGCCAGACGCCGCGGUAAUACGUAGGGGGCAAGCGUUAUCCGGAUUUACUGGGGUUAAAGGGAGCGUAGACGGCAGUGCAAGUCUGGAGUGAAAGGCGGGGGGUCAACCCCCGGACAGCCGUGGAAACUGUACGGCUGGAGUUGGAGAGAGGUAAGCGGAAUGCGUGGUGUAGCGGUGAAAUGCGUAGAUAUUAGGCAGAACCCCAGUUGCGAAGGCGGCUUACCGGACUGAAACUGACGUUGAGGCUCGAAAGCGUGGGUAUCGAACAGGAUUAGAUACCCGUGUAGUC
rnacentral:rRNA from 1 species